rnacentral:tRNA from 1 species
CGGGGCGUGGCGCAGCCUGGUAGCGCACCUGCCUUGGGUGCAGGGAGUCGGAGGUUCAAAUCCUCUCGCCCCGACCA